GGCAGGUGCCCAGGCUGUGUAUGACGUCCUCAGCCAGGUCAGAGUGGUCAGAGUCCCAUACCAACCCAAUGGAGACGAUCUCCGUUGUUACGGUGAGCGAACAAAAAGCACUCCAUCCCUCAUUGAAGCGGGCCAACCAGGCGUUCUCUCAGUGAUCGUUUUCAAGGGACGUGGUCGAGAUGUAAUGAACCAUCUGAAUGAAGGGCAACGGGUCCGACGUGGCGCCGCAGCUGUUACACACGC